rnacentral:rRNA from 1 species
CCUACGGGUGGCUGCAGUGAGGAAUAUUGGUCAAUGGGAGAGAUCCUGAACCAGCCAAGCCGCGUGAGGGAAGACGGCCCUAUGGGUUGUAAACCUCUUUUGUCGGAGAACAAAACCCGGGACGUGUCCCGGCCUGCGUGUAUCCGAAGAAAAAGCAUCGGCUAACUCCGUACCAGCAGCCGCGGUAAUACGGGGGAUGAGAGCGUUGUCCGGAUCUAUUGGGUUUAAGGGGUGCGUAGGCGGUCCGUUAAGUCAGCGGGAAAAUUGCGGGGCCAAACCCCGUCGGGCCGUUGAAACUGGCAGACUUGAGUUGGCGAGAGGUACGCGGAAUGCGCGGUGUAGCGGUGAAAUGCAUAGAUAUCGCGCAGAACUCCGAUUGCGAAGGCAGCGUACCGGCGCCAGACUGACGCUGAGGCACGAAAGCGUGGGGAUCGAACAGGAUUAGAUACCCCAGUAGUC